rnacentral:tRNA from 1 species
GUAGGUAUAGCUCAGUUGGAGAGUGUGUUUAGCAUGCAUGAGGUCCUGGGUUCAAUCCCCAAUACCUCCA